rnacentral:rRNA from 1 species
GCCAGCAGCCAUAUCACCCUGCAACUCACAACUGGCAACCCACUGAAGCUAAGCAGGUGUGAGCCUGGUCAGUACCUGGAUGGGAGACCUCCUGGGAAAACUUAGGUGUUAGUGGGG